rnacentral:rRNA from 1 species
AGUGAACGCUGGCGGUAGGCCUAACACAUGCAAGUCGAACGGCAGCACAGUAAGAGCUUGCUCUUGCGGGUGGCGAGUGGCGGACGGGUGAGGAAUACAUCGGAAUCUACUUUUUCGUGGGGGAUAACGUAGGGAAACUUACGUUAAUACCGCAUACGACCUACGGGUGAAAGCAGGGGAUCUUCGGACCUUGCGCGAUUGAAUGAGCCGAUGUCGGAUUAGCUAGUUGGCGGGGUAAAGGCCCACCAAGGCGACGAUCCGUAGCUGGUCUGAGAGGAUGAUCAGCCACACUGGAACUGAGACACGGUCCAGACUCCUACGGGAGGCAGCAGUGGGGAAUAUUGGACAAUGGGCGCAAGCCUGAUCCAGCCAUACCGCGUGGGUGAAGAAGGCCUUCGGGUUGUAAAGCCCUUUUGUUGGGAAAGAAAAGCAGCAGGUUAAUACCCCGCUGUUCUGACGGUACCCAAAGAAUAAGCACCGGCUAACUUCGUG